rnacentral:lncRNA from 1 species
AAGCAGUUAAUCAAGAUAUUGUAAGUAAAAAGAUCUGGAAACAACCCAGUUGAAUUGAGUCUCUAGAAGAGUAAAAGGACAGUAUCAUAAUGCUUAUUCUUAGCGAGGCCAGCGAGCAAAAUAUUGAAGGAAGAGACAGGAGGCGGAGAAGGGUGCAUACGGAGCAUGUAAUCAAAGAUACAAAAGGCUUCAUUAGGAGUAAUAACAUUAAUAUCGGCGGAGAAGGGUGCAUACGUUGAAGGAAGAGACAGGAGGCGGAGAAGGGUGCAUACGGAGCAUGUAAUCAAAGAUACAAAAGGCUUCAUUAGGAGUAAUAACAUUAAUAUCACCUUCACCUGAUGAUUUACAUCUUUCUUUCAGGAAUUUGUCGAGGGAGGCUCUGUCUUUGACUUUGGCUGUCAGCAGUAACCAAUCGUUCCGUUUAGUUGUUGUAGCUGGAAAUGAGGGUUCAUUUUUGGAAUUGGAAUUAGAAUUAGAAGUACGAGUAGUGAGGUCUCGGAAGUGAACAAGUAAAGAUGAGAAGUUAGAUUUGAAAGCUGAUAUUGGUGCUGAAGCAAAAGAGAAUGAACGAUUACAACAAGAUUCGAAUCCCAUUGAAGAGUUUUUUUCAAGGUUCUAAUCUAUACUUCCGGUUACCUAUUUUAUUAUGCACGGGGGAGAGACAAUAGUCUAACUAAUCGAAUUGGGUUGGUG